rnacentral:misc_RNA from 1 species
UUAAGUUCAGCGGGUAUCCCUACCUGAUCCGAGGUCAACCAGAAAAAAUUGGGGGUUUGCGGCGGGAUCGUCUCAAUGCACAAGCGAAAGAUAAAUCUUAUUACGCCAGGGCACAUGAGGCAAUCUGCCAUUGCAUUUCGAAAGGGAGACCGACAAGCGGCCUCUUCUUCCAAUACCAAGCAAAAGAGCUUGAGGAGGUU